rnacentral:rRNA from 1 species
UACAGAGGUCUCAAGCGUUGUUCGGAUUCAUUGGGCGUAAAGGGUGCGUAGGCGGCGCGGUAAGUCGGUGUGAAAUCUUGGAGCUUAACUCCGAAACUGCAUUCGAUACUGCCGUGCUUGAGGACUGGAGAGGAGACUGGAAUUUACGGUGUAGCGGUGAAAUGCGUAGAUAUCGUAAGGAAGACCAGUGGCGAAGGCGGGUCUCUGGACAGUUCCUGACGCUGGAGGCACGAAGGCCAGGGGAGCGAACGGG